UUGGUGGUUUGUCUCAGGGAGCUGAUGCCCACCAUGUCAGAGAUAUUUUUGAAAGAUCAGGAAAUCAAAGCUGUGAAAUGCUUGUAGUCCAUGUUGAGAAAGAAUCCACAAACUUCUGCAAUCACAAAGACCAGCCCUGCACAGGAGCUGCAGAAAGAGCAACUGCCUCAUGAAGCUGAGCCUGCAACACUCCCAGUACUACUGAAGAGCCUGGUUCUGUGUUCAUUCCAUGGAUGCUGCGAUGCUGGUGGAGCCCAGUUCUGGAUAUGUCAUCAAUUAAGAAGGUUGGAGAAAUGUUAUUAAAACAUCAGCCAUACCCCUGUGUACCUUUUAAAUUUUUCAAAAUGGCUUUUGUGUUGCUGUUGGGCCACUUGACCCCAUGCACAUCAAAGGCAAUUCUAAAAUGCAUUCUUUGUGAUCACUUUCUGACUUCAGCUUUUCUUUUUGCAAGGGUGCAUUUUGGUGAUACUGAGUCUUCAAAAAGCCUGUCCUCAGAAAAAAAAUUGCCUAGCUGCAAAUGAUGUUGAAGAACUGCCCCUAGCCCAAUUACAGUUCCACCAAGGGUCCUGGAUUGGCCAACCAUCUUACUGCUGAAGCAAAGCUGAAGGGAGUCACAGAAGAGGAUCCUGGCUUGCAGGACAGGGCUGUUUGAGGGAACAAAAAUGGGUCUCUUUGUGGGGAUGUGAGCAAAUUUGCUGAAUGUGAAACAUCUGUGUGGACAAAUUCAAUGGAACACGUGUUACAGCCUUUCAGAGCGUGG